rnacentral:rRNA from 1 species
ACCGGUAACGCCCAGAGAUGGGUUGCCCCUUUGUGGUCGGUGGACAGGUGGUGCAUGGUUGUCGUCAGCUCGUGUCGUGAGAUGUUGGGUUAAAGUCCCGCAACGAGCGCAACCCUCGUCCUAUGUUGCCAGCGGGUCAUGCCGGGGACUCAUGGGAGACUGCCGGGGUCAACUCGGAGGAAGGUGGGAUGACGUCAAAUCAUCAUGCCCCUUAUGUCUUGGGCUUCACGCAUGCUACAAUGGCCGGUACAAAGGGCUGCGAUACCGCGAGGUGGAGCGAAUCCCAGAAAGCCGGUCUCAGUUCGGAUUGGGGUCUGCAACUCGACCCCAUGAAGUCGGAGUCGCUAGUAAUCGCAGAUCAGCAACGCUGCGGUGAAUACGUUCCCGGGCCUU